ensembl:lncRNA
GGACUAAUACAAAUAAUAAUAAGGUGUGAAAAUGAACAGUAUCAAAAUGCAAAGGUAGCAACUUCAUUGAGCCAAAAAACACAGACUACAGAAUAUGCUUCGAGGCAAUGUGCAUCCAGACCUGCGCGUCAAUGAAUUCAGCUGUUUUAUUUCUAGUUUCACGAAUAUUAAAAUGCUUUGUCUAUCUUACCCAACUUAUUAUUGCUUAAAUCUCUCUUCAGUUCACAGACAGCCCUGUGAUCCAUAACCUCCCCGGAAGUGUCCUCGAUGUAGACCACUGCUUGUCCCCCCCUCCCUCCUCUAUUGAAGCUAAAUAUAUCCUACAAGAGCUCUGACCCCCACAUCACUGCAUGUAUCAUCUACCCAUAACACAAUAACAGCUCCAACCGUAUCUCCGUCAAGCUAAAUGCAGCGCUGACUAAGCCUGUGUGGCACCUGCCCCACCUCCACAGGCUUACGUAUGUUCAGUCAACCUCCGUCAGGUCCGAUGGAGGGGCCACAAUGGCCUCCUGGACCUCUCGGUAUCCCCUCCGUCCACGCACGUGCAGCCAAACACAGAACUGUGUGGAUGAGGAGUGGGAUCGCUGCAGGUUAACUCACACCGGUGAAGUUUGGUAGAUUACUCCAAGUUUAGGGCCGGAGCAACGGCCUUCCUUUAUUCCCCGUAGGCACUUUCUUUGAAGAAAAAUGCAACAAUCGGGCUGGCAGGGUGUUGAUGCCCCGGCUUGAUAUCCUCAAAAAUAUUGCACCAUUUACUGCAUGUUUUACAUUUUGCUUGUGCCCGUUCGCAGCUGCUCACCAAACAAAAUGUUGUUGUUUCCAGAGGUUCUAAUGAUCACUUUGGAAAAGCGCAAAAUAUACUUCAUAACGCAUCCCCUCUUUGUGAAUAGCUUACUAGAAUGAUCCCCACGUUUUACUACAUUACAUCUAUAGUUCGGUUACAUGGAAAGACUGGUAGGUAUAGACAGACAGAGAUGAUGAUGGAGUCUGUAGAUGACAAUUCACCCACAGAAAUGUAUUCUAUGGCACAAUUCUACAAAAACAAUGGAUCAUCUGAAUGAGGGAGAUCAAUUUUAUUUUUUCCGUAUGUAUUACAUCAUAAAAAGCAGCACUAUUAAGAAUGAUAUACAUAAUAUAUAUGUAUAGAGAGAAUAAUAAUCCUCAUCAACAUAGUGUUCAGACUCUGCUGUUGUUCAGACGCACAGAGAUGUUCGCUGCUCCACAGAAGAAGAACUUAGCAGAUCUCCGUUAUUCGGUAGAUCCGCUGUCAGUGGAUCCGAUUCAGCACCGCGGAGUCACCGGUGUUUAUUUAGAGAAAUAACAGCCGUAUCCCCCCAGGUGAGGGUUAGCAUCAGAGAGGGUCGUUUUGUUCUUACCCAAGUAGUUGGUCCGGAUGGUGUUCGGCUCGUUGUAUCCAAUCAGACGUUUGUUUACAUCCCAAACCAGGUUUCCAGACCAGGACAUUGUGACCAUAUGACGGUUUGAAUUAACAAUAACAUUGAAAGCAAGCUAACGCGUUGCCGUUGAUGUCGCCUUUUAUUUGAUCGUCGAUCGGCUGUGCCAUCGACGUCGGUCCCCUGCGGGUCGGGACGGCGCUAAUGUUAGCCGGCUGCUACGCUCCGCGUCCGCAUCGCUGGAGGUGAAAGACGCGCUGCUGUCCCCGUCCCCGCUGUCCUCGCUAGUCUACCCACACCGUCCUCCGGCUCUCUGCGCUGCUAACUGUCCGUCCUGCUAGGCUAGGCAGGUUUAUUUCUUCUAGCCAGGCAGCGGUCAGCUGUGUCCAAAACAACGCGAUAAACAACGUGUUU